GCACAGGCGGUGAGCAUGUGGUUUAAUUCGAUGCAACGCGUAAGAACCUUACCUGGUCUUGACAUCCACGGAAGUUUUCAGAGAUGAGAAUGUGCCUUCGGGAACCGUGAGACAGGUGCUGCAUGGCUGUCGUCAGCUCGUGUUGUGAAAUGUUGGGUUAAGUCCCGCAACGAGCGUAACCCUUAUCCUUUGUUGCCAGCGGUCCGGCCGGGAACUCAAAGGAGACUGCCAGUGAUAAACUGGAGGAAGGUGGGAUGACGUCAAGUCAUCAUGGCCCUUACGACCAGGGCUACACACGUGCUACAAUGGCGCAUACAAAGAGAAGCGACCUCGCGAGAGCAAGCGGACCUCAUAAAGUGCGUCGUAGUCCGGAUUGGAGUCUGCAACUCGACUCCAUGAAGUCGGAAUCGCUAGUAAUCGUGGAUCAGAAUGCCACGGUGAAUACGUUCCCGGGCCUU
rnacentral:rRNA from 1 species